rnacentral:lncRNA from 1 species
AUGGCGCCUGAUAAUUCGUGGGACAGGGGAGGAGGGUCACCACGUGAAAUAUGGGAAGCGGGUGAUGCUGAGAUCUGGGGGAGGGGGACAGGAGGUGAGGAAAGAGGGGUCACAGGGGAGGAGGCAAAUGGAGGAAGGGACCACGAUGGGGCAGGGAGGAGGAGAAGCAGGAGGUCUAGGGAGGGUGAUGCUCGGCUCCGAGGCGGCUGCACUCAGCACGUACGAGCGCUGGCCUCGGCCGGGCCAGGAUGCGGGCGCCCGGGUCCCGGAGCAUCCUCGGCGGGGGCGGCGGCGGCGCCGGCGCCGGGAAGGGAGGGCCGCGGGCCUGCAGCUGCCCGGCUCCCGCCUCCAACCCCCGUCCCGGGGUCGGCUCGGCCGCGCCGCCCUCCCGCCCCAGCAGCCCCAGCAGACGAAGCUUACCUGCGCCCGGGCGCGCGGGCGGCUGUCGGGACCCAGGAGACGCCGCCGCCCGAGGGCGCGGACCUGCGGACGCCCCCUGCCCGGUGCCGCGGAGCCGCCGCCCGGCCGCUGCCCAGCCCACGCCGCUGGAGUCCGAGCCGGAGCACCAGCCGGAGCCCAAGCCGCGCCGGUGCCCCCGCCGGUGCAGACGCGGCGCUGCGCUCCGCGGGGCCGCGAAGACCACAACUCCCACAAUGCCUCGCGCGCUGGGCCGGCGGGGGAGGGGGCGCCGGAGGGGCGGGGCCAGCGGGGCGGGGCCGGGGACCCCCCUGCACCCGGCACCUGCGCUCGCCCUGCGGGAGACGACCCGAGGCCGGGCCCGCCGCGGCUCCGGAGGGUCCUGGCACUGCGCCCCGAGACGCAGCGCCCGCCCAGCCCGAGGGUGCGCGCAGGCGGCGACAAGUGUGCAGUCAUUCAUUAAGAAAGGCUCGCGUCGCUUCCUCCGCUCUUUCGUUUUUCGCUCUUUCUCUGUUCUCCCUCCCUCUGUCUUUCUGUUCCUCUCUGAGUCGCCCUCGUCUCCAUUUCCUCCUUUUCAUUCUCUUUCACUUCCCCGCGACCUCACUUCCUCUCGCCCUAAGGCCUUCUUUCCUUUAUUGA